CCUUCAUGAAGCUGGAAUUGCUAGUAAUGGCAGGUCAGCAUACUGCCGUGAAUACGUUCCCGGGCCUUGUACACACCGCCCGUCACACCAUGAGAGUUGGAAAUACCCGAAGCCUGUGAGCUAACUUUUAGAGGCAGCAGUCGAAGGUAGAAUCAAUGAUUGGGGUGAAGUCGUAACAAGGUACC
rnacentral:rRNA from 1 species